GACAGAGGCCUCAAGCGUUAGGCGGAAUCACUGGGCUUAAAGCGUGUGUAGGCGGAUCGUUAAGUGUCUUGUGAAAUCCCACGGCUCACCCGUGGAACGGCUGGGCAUACUGGCGAUCUUGGGCCAACUAGGGGGCAACUGGAACAAGCGGUGGAGCGGUGAAAUGCGUAGAUAUCGCUUGGAACGCCGAAAGGUGAAAAACAGGUUGCUGGGGG
rnacentral:rRNA from 1 species